CCUACGGGUGGCAGCAGUGAGGAAUAGUGGGCAAUGGGAGGAAGCCGGAACCAGCCAGGCCGCGUGCAGGACGACGGCGCGACGAGAGGUAAACUGCUGUUGUACAGGGGUAAAAUGCGCUACGAGUAGGGUUUUGAAAGUACGGUACGAAUAAGGAUCGGCUAACUCCGUGCCAGCAGCCGCGGUAAUACGGAGGAUCCGAGCGUUAGCCGGAGUGAUUGGGUUGAAAGGGUGCGUCGGUUGUUUUAUAAGUUAGCGGUGAAAUACCGAUGCUCCACAUCGGGGCUGCCGCUGAUACUGUAGGACUAGAGCUCGGCUGCCGCAGGCGGAAUGUGUCGUGUAGCGGU
rnacentral:rRNA from 1 species